AUGAAUUUAGUAGAUCCUUUUAGGAGGCCCUCAAUGAUCAUAGAUCAAAUUUAUCCUAUUUUUACAGUGCGAUGGCUGUCUAUUCACGGACUAGCUCUACCUAAUUUCUUUUCUUGGGAUCAAUAUCAGCAAUGCAGUUCAUCCAACGAUAAACCAAAUUCCAACUAA
rnacentral:rRNA from 1 species